rnacentral:pre_miRNA from 1 species
UAGCAGCACGUAAAUAUUGGCGUAGUGGAAUAAAUAUUAAACACCAAUAUUAUUGUGCUGCUUUA